rnacentral:rRNA from 1 species
AUGCAGUCGAACGGAUCCUUCGGGAUUAGUGGCGGACGGGUGAGUAACACGUGGGAACGUGCCCUUUGGUUCGGAACAACUCAGGGAAACUUGAGCUAAUACCGGAUGUGCCCUUCGGGGGAAAGAUUUAUCGCCAUUGGAGCGGCCCGCGUAGGAUUAGCUAGUUGGUGGGGUAAAGGCCCACCAAGGCGACGAUCCUUAGCUGGUCUGAGAGGAUGAUCAGCCACAUUGGGACUGAGACACGGCCCAAACUCCUACGGGAGGCAGCAGUGGGGAAUCUUGCGCAAUGGGCGAAAGCCUGACGCAGCCAUGCCGCGUGAAUGAUGAAGGUCUUAGGAUUGUAAAAUUCUUUCACCGGGGACGAUAAUGACGGUACCCGGAGAAGAAGCCCCGGCUAACUUCGUGCCAGCAGCCGCGGUAAUACGAAGGGGGCUAGCGUUGCUCGGAAUUACUGGGCGUAAAGGGAGCGUAGGCGGACUGUUUAGUCAGAGGUGAAAGCCCAGGGCUCAGCCUUGGAAUUGCCUUUGAUACUGGCAGUCUUGAGUACGGAAGAGGUAUGUGGAACUCCGAGUGUAGAGGUGAAAUUCGUAGAUAUUCGGAAGAACACCAGUGGCGAAGGCGACAUACUGGUCCGUUACUGACGCUGAGGCUCGAAAGCGUGGGGAGCAAACAGGAUUAGAUACCCUGGUAGUCCACGCUGUAAACGAUGAGUGCUAGUUGUCGGCAGGCAUGCCUGUCGGUGACGCAGCUAACGCAUUAAGCACUCCGCCUGGGGAGUACGGUCGCAAGAUUAAAACUCAAAGGAAUUGACGGGGGCCCGCACAAGCGGUGGAGCAUGUGGUUUAAAUUCGAAGCAACGCGCAAAACCUUACCACCCUUUUGACAUGCCCGGAACCGCCCCAAAAAAUGCGGCUUUUCCCUUC